UACGUAGGGUGCAAGCGUUGUCCGGAAUUAUUGGGCGUAAAGAGCUCGUAGGCGGUUUUGUCGCGUCUGCUGUGAAAAUCAGGGCUUAACCCUGGACCUGCAGUGGGGUACGGGCAGACUAGAGUGCGGUAGGGGAGAUCGGAAUUCCUGGUGUAGCGGUGAAAUGCGCAGAUAUCAGGAGGAACACCAAAGGCGAAAGGCAGUGUCCUGGGGGA
rnacentral:rRNA from 1 species